GUAACAAGGUUUCCGUAGGUGAACCUGCGGAAGGAUCAUUACUGAAGAAACAAGGGUUUUGAGACUGCGUCCUUCAAUUGGGCGUGUGCUCGACUCUUACUCUUUCAUAUCCCAUACACACCUUUGUGCACCAAGGGGACCCUUGUGUCCCCCCUUUUUUCAUAAAUACCGAGUUAUAUGCAUGUAUAGUUUGUAUACUCUACGGAGUUAUUAUAAAUACAACUUUCAACAACGGAUCUCUUGGCUUUCGCAUCGAUGAAGAACGCAGCGAACGUGCGAAACGUAAUGUGAAUUGCAGAAUUCAGUGAAUCAUCGAAUCUUUGAACGCAUCUUGCGCUCCUUGGUAUUCCGAGGAGCAUGCCUGUUUGAGUGUCGUGAAUAACUCUCAAUUUCAAAUAUUUUAGAAUAUCUGACAUUGGACUUGGGCGUUGUCGUGUUUCUACGACUCGUCCUAAAUGCAUUAGCGAUCUGCCCUGAUCACACACAAUGUGAUAAGUAAAAAAUAAAGCAUUGUUAUGGUUGGGUUUGAAAGAUGGCUUCUAAUCGUCGUAAUGACAAAUAAAAGACCAUGUCGUUUGACCUCAAAUCAGGCAGGACUACCCGCUGAACUUAAGCA
rnacentral:rRNA from 1 species